GGUCUCACAUAGCCCAGGCUGGCCUGUGACUUGUUGGGUAGCCAAAGCUAACCCUGAAAUACUCUCCUUCCUCCUCUGUCUUCUGAGUGAUGAUAAUAUAUGGGUGUAUUACUUCUGAUGUAUUUAUUUGGCAAUACUGGAGUCUCGUGCAUGCUACACAAGGUCUCUACCCUUGAGCUCAAUUCCCCAAUGUGCCCUCCUCCCCCAGGGUAUGUAUUUAACCUUGUCUACCUAGAACUUGCUCAUUAUUUGGAUCAGGCUAGCCUCCAACUCACAGAGAUCCUCCUACCUUUGCCUACCAAGUUCUGGUUAAAGGUGUAGGCCAUCCCUUGGCCCUUCCCUCUCAUGUGUUUUCAUUAUGUCUACGUGAUAAAGUCAAAGCUACAGUAAGGCCACCUCCCUGAGAAACUUCUUGGACAGAGAUGACCGCUAAGCUUUUCCUGGGGUUUGUUUGUUUGUUUGUUUGGAUUGGAGGAAAAUAUCCAACAAUAGCUCCAUCAUAUAAACCAACAUAGCCAUCAGUUCUAGCCUUGUUUAAGCCAGAUCAACUUAAGUAUUUUCAUAGAAACGACAAAGGCAUGGGGAAAAACUGGAAAACACAGAUAUUGCAAAACUGAAAGCAAACAGGUGAAGACGUUUCCUCCUCCGGAGUUGCCUUCGGGCUAAAGAUUGUAUCUGGUAGAUAGGAGGGAUAAAUAUUAUGCAACGGCAAACCUGGACUCAAGAGCUCCAUACUUACACCAUCUGACACAGACCUGGAUCUGGGGUCUUUCUCCUCUCCAGCAACACAUGGCCAGAGACUCUUAUGAUCUUAUGAGAGUUCUGGAUACCUUUCAAUCUAGAGCUAUGUAGCUAGUGAUGACCAUGAACUGCAGAUCUUCCUGUUUCGUCCUUCCAAGUGCUGGGAUGACAGAUGUCUGACAGCACACCUAGUUGAUAUGAUGCUGGAGACUGAACCAAAGACUUUCAACACAGGCCGACAUGCUAAGCACUUUCCAUCUUGAUGACAUUACUGCUGGCAAUGCUACCGUACAGUACAGCUCAUUAUAAAUCACAGCAGAAGAUCAGAAAGCACUAUCAUCAACUCAUAAAGAAAACAACUGAGGGACUGGAGAGAUGACUCAGCAGGUAAGAGCACUGGCUGCUCUUCCAGAGGACCUGGGUUUGAUUUCUAACCCCAAAUGGUGGCUCACAAUGGGUCCUGUCCUCUUCUCGUCUCUCUGGGUACCAGGCAUGCUCAUGGUACACAGACAUACAUACAGGCAAAACAUCCAUAGGAAUAAAAUGAAAUAGUGAUAAUGGUCUAAAAGAAAACCAAGUUUAGACUUUGUUCCCUGUGUAAAGAUGCUUGAUUGGAAGUCUGGCGGCCUGAGUUAGAUCCUAGGGUCCCACGUGGUAGAAACAAUGGGCUCCUGCAGAUUCUCCUCUGACCUCCAUAAGCACACCAUGGUACACAUAUGCUCCCCAACACACUCCCAUAAAAGUGAAAGAAUUCAUCCAGCCCAACAUAUAACAUUGAAUCUGAUGCCCAGCUAGAAAAUGGUUAAAACAUUUAUUUGAGCUUUGUGUACGUUUUCAAAGAUGAACUUGGGCAGAAACAGGAGAGACUCUGCCUUAAAGCAUGGUGGAAGGCAAACACCAUCUCCUCACUGUUUUCUCAUCUCCACAUGAGCACCAUGGUGUGUAUGCUUUCGAGUGUGUGCACAUGCUCGUGCACACCCACGCUCCCACCCACAUGCCAAAUCCAAGAAACUCACUUCACUCAAAGGAGGUGUGCAACAUUGUUGUUCUGUGCCGAGUGAGAACUUCCAGAAAGCAGAAGUGGAAGGAUCUAGUAUAGGAUAGAGAGAACGCCAGAGCUAGGGACAGCAUUAGAAUCUUAAAAUUAUGUGAUCAUUUCAUGACUUGCUUAUUAUGGUGGCUAUGAUGAAAAUAAGACCUGUGUAUUAUCUCAUUCGCUAUGGAAACAGCUGCUACUGCACCUGAGAAGUUUGCUGAGGGCUUGUAGGUCUCAGUCAUACAGUCGUAACUCCCUCUUAGCUUUACCAUUGUCUGAAUCUCCAUCAAAAACUUCUUCCUGUUUUGUCUCCUUCUUCCUCAUCCCCUUCCCCUCCUCAUCUUCCAUAUCUUAGUCUUCCUCUUCCUUUUCCUUCUCCUUUUCUUCCUUCUCAGUCCCUUCCUCAUCUUCCUUCUGUUUCUCCUCCUCCUUUGUAAUGUGUCAUUGAGGACUGAACCCAGGAC
rnacentral:lncRNA from 1 species